CUCUUAUUGAGCACCAGGAACUACCAGCCAGAGAGAGCUCCCUGCUGCCCAGGGUCACAUACAGCAGGCCUUCCUGGUGGCAGGCAGGCCUCACAUCCCAGCACAGCUGCCAGAAAGAAAGGAGCCUCCAGACUUCGCACAAAUGACUUCUGGUGAUGUCUUCCAGGCCUUGUUUGUCUGAAUUCACCUCCUCCAGAAAGCUGGUCUAGUUUGGAAACUCUCUCAGGCUCCCUUCCUGACCUCCAGAGACAACCUUCCUCCUGCUUGUUGACAGUUGCAGGGAUUGCUUUAGGAUCAUUCCCACCCAGAGCCCCCAGGUGCCCCACACGGCCAUCUCCCACCCUGCACAAUUCAGUCACCUAGCAAUGACAUUCCCAACCCAAAAUGCCUGCUAUGUGUCAAA